rnacentral:rRNA from 1 species
UACAGAGGGUGCGAGCGUUAAUCGGAAUGACUGGGCGUAAAGGGUGUGUAGGUGGUUUAAUAAGUUAGGUGUGAAAGUCCUGGGCUUAACCUGGGGAGGUCGCUUAAGACUGUUAAGCUAGAGUACUGUAGAGGAAGGUGGAAUUUCCGGUGUAGCAGUGAAAUGCGUAGAUAUCGGAAGGAACAUCAGUGGCGAAGGCGACUUUCUGGACAGAUACUGACACUGAGACACGAGAGCGUGGGGAGCAAACAGG